rnacentral:rRNA from 1 species
CCUACGGGUGGCAGCAGUGAGGAAUAUUGGUCAAUGGGCGUAAGCCUGAACCAGCCAAGUCGCGUGAGGGAUGAAGGUUCUAUGGAUCGUAAACCUCUUUUAUAAGGGACUAAAGUGCGGGACGUGUCCCGUUUUGUAUGUACCUUAUGAAUAAGGAUCGGCUAACUCCGUGCCAGCAGCCGCGGUAAUACGGAGGAUCCGAGCGUUACCCGGAUUUAUUGGGUGUAAAGGGUGCGUAGGCGGCCUUUUAAGUCAGCGGGGAAAGUCUGUGGCUCAACCAUAGAAUUGCAGUUGAAACUGGGAGGCUUGGGUAUGUUUGAGGCAGGCGGAAUGCGUGGUGUAGCGGUGAAAUGCUGAGAUAUCACGCAGAACCCCGAUUGCGAAGGCAGCCUGCCAAGCCAUGACUGACGCUGAUGCACGAAAGCGUGGGGAUCAAACAGGAUUAGAUACCCCAGUAGUC